rnacentral:rRNA from 1 species
GAUGAACGCUGGCUGCGUGCCUAAUACAUGCAAGUCGCGCGACCAGACGAGGAGCUUUCGCCUCUGACGUUGGCGGCGGGCGGGUGGGUAACACGUGGAUAACCUACCUAUAAUACUCGGCUAACUUCGGGAAACCGGAGCUAAUACCGGCUAAUAUAUUGCACCGCAUGGUUCACUAGUGAAAGACGGUUUUGCUGUCACUUAUGGAUGGAUCGGCGCCGCAUUAGUUAGUUGGUAAGUUAACGGCUUACCAAGGCGACGAUGCGUGGCCGACCUGAGAGGGUGAGCAGCCACACUGGACCGGAGACACGGUCCAGACCCGUACGGGAGGCAGCAGUGGGGUAUGGUACGCAAGGGGCGAAAGCCUGACGUGGCAAAGCCGCGUGAGUGAUGAAGGUCCUGGGAUCGGAGUACUCUGUUACUAGGGAAGAACAAAUGUGUAAGUAACUAGGGACGUCUUGACGGUACCGAAUGAGAAAGCCCCGGCUAACUACGUG